UCCUUCCAUACACCGAAUAUACUAGACCUAUUGCUUAUAGUAUCUGAGAUAUGGACUUGACCACCAAAACUUAACCUUGUUCACUGAUCCAUGAAAUGAGGUCGAGGUCAAGUGAAAACUGUCUGACGGGCAUGAGGACCUUGCAAGGUACGCACAUACCAAAUAGAGUUAUCCUAUUACUUAUAAUAAGAGAGAAUCUAACAUUACAAAAAAUCUGAACUUUUUUUUCAAGUAGUCACUGAACCAUGAAAAUGAGGUCAAGGACAUUGGACAUGUGACUGACAGAAACUUCGUAACAUGAGGCAUCCAUAUACAAAGUAUGAAGCAUCCAGACCUUCCACCUUCUAAAAUAUAAAGCUUUUAAGAAGUUAGCUAACGCCGCCGCCGCCGUAGCCGGAUCACUAUCCCUAUGUCGAGCUUUCUGCGACAAAAGUCGCAGGCUCGACAAAAAACAGACCAAAACACAACAAGAGUGCACACGCUGAAAUGUCUCGCCUUCUUUACUAAUCAUUGAUAUUAUGUUGAUAGUCCUAAAUAUAAAGCUUUAUUACAACUGUCACAUAAACUUAACAUUAACCAAGUAAACUAAACAUUGACCAAUGAACCAUGAAAAUGAGGUCAAGGUCAGAUGAACCAUGCUAGGCAGGCAUGUACAGCUAACAAUUCUUCCAUACAACAAAUAGAGUUGACCUAUUGCUUAUAGUUUAAGAAAAACAGACCAAAACACAAAAACUUAACACUGAGCAAUGAACCUUGAAAAUGAGGUCAAGGUCAAAUAAAACCUGCGUGACUGCCAAAUAGAUCAUAAAAUAUUUCCAUACACCAAAUAUAGUUGAACUAUUGCAUAUAGUAUAAGAAAAACAGACCAAAACACAAAAACUUAACUAUAACCACUGAACCAUGAAAAUGAGGUCAAGGUCAGAUGACACCUGCCAGUUGGACAUGUACACCUUACAGUCCUUCCAUACACCAAAUAUACUAGACCUAUUGCUUAUAGUAUCUGAGAUAUGGACUUGACCACCAAAACUUAACCUUGUUCAUUGAUCCAUGAAAUGAGGUCAAGGUCAAGUGAAAACUGUCUGACGGGCAUGAGGACCUUGCAAGGUACGCACAUACCAAAUAUAGUUGAACUAUUGCACAUAGUAUUAGAAAAAAAGACCAAAACUCAAAAACUUAACUUUGACCACUGAACCAUGAAAAUGAGGUCAAGGUCAGAUGACACCAGCCCGCUAGACAUGUACACCUUACAAUCAUUCCAUACACCAAAUAUAGUAGACCUAUGGCAUACAGUAUAAGAAAAACAAACCAAAACACAAAACCUUAACUAUAACCACUGAACCAUGAAAAUGAGGUCAAGGUCAGAUGACACCUGCCAGUUGGACAUGUACACCUUACAGUCCUUCCAUACACCGAAUAUACUAGACCUAUUGCUUAUAGUAUCUGAGAUAUGGACUUAACCACCAAAACUUAACCUUGUUCACUGAUCCAUUAAAUGAGGUCGAGGUCAAGUGAAAACUGUCUGACGGGCAUGAGGACCUUGCAAGGUACGCACAUACCAAAUAUAGUUGAACUAUUGCACAUAGUAUUAGAAAAAAAGACCAAAACUCAAAAACUUAACUUUGACCACUGAACCAUGAAAAUGAGGUCAAGGUCAGAUGACACCUGCCCGCUAGACAUGUACACCUUACAAUCAUUCCAUACACCAAAUAAAGUAGACCUAUGGCAUACAGUAUAAGAAAAACAGACCAAAACACAAAAACUUAACUAUAACCACUGAACCAUGAAAAUGAGGUCAAGGUCAGAUGACACCUGCCAGUUGGACAUGUACACCUUACAGUCCUUCCA